UUUGAUGUUGACAGCUCUUUCUGGUAAAGAUGUCGCUUUAUUAGAGAGAUGAUGCUCUAACUCAUAGGGAUAUCGUUGUUGCUGAAGGGGAUGAUGUUACAUCCAUCCGAGAUAUCGCAUGUAGUUGGAAGUGGAUCUAUUGGCUCGUGUAGAAACCCUUGGGUAGGAGAUCACAAUGUUACCUCCUUCUUCUGAGAGGGAAUUCAUGUUGGACUUGAUAGCCCGCAUACACACUGAUUUGUAGAUGGGCUUGUAUUUUCCUGCACAGACUAGCUUAGCCAUUUUG
rnacentral:lncRNA from 1 species